rnacentral:rRNA from 1 species
AGGGUUCGAUUCUGGCUCAGGAUGAACGCUAGCGGCAGGCUUAACACAUGCAAGUCGAGGGGCAGCGGGAUGUAGCAAUACAUUGCCGGCGACCGGCGGAUGGGUGCGUAACGCGUAUGCAACCUACCUUAUACAGGGGAAUAACCUUUCGAAAGGGAGACUAACACCCCAUGGUAUUGAUUUAAGGCAUCUUAGAUUAAUUAAAUAUUUAUAGGUAUAAGAUGGGCAUGCGUAUGAUUAGCUAGUUGGUAAGGUAACGGCUUACCAAGGCGACGAUCAUUAGGGGUUCUGAGAGGAAGGUCCCCCACACUGGUACUGAGACACGGACCAGACUCCUACGGGAGGCAGCAGUGAGGAAUAUUGGUCAAUGGGCGCAAGCCUGAACCAGCCAUGCCGCGUGCAAGGAAGACGGCCUUAUGGGUUGUAAACUGCUUUUACAUAAGACUAACCGUAUAUUUGCGAAUAUACCUGAAUGUAUUAUGAGAAUAAGGAUCGGCUAACUCCGUGCCAGCCGCCGC